CAAAUUAGAGCUUGAUUAAGUAUUUCAUUUACAUUGAAAAGAAAUUGAUUAUAAAUCAUUUAAUUUGA
rnacentral:tRNA from 1 species